rnacentral:lncRNA from 1 species
UGCAGUAUCACAGACCCCAAAAACAGUUUCUAGCUGAGUAAUUAAAACCAAAUGAUCUACAGCGUCAAAAGCGGCACUGACAUCAAGAAGGAUCAAAAUUGAAAGAUAACCAGAAUCUGAGGCAAUUAACAAAUCAUUAGUAACCUUGACCAGUGCUGUUUCAGUACUAUAGAAUUUGCGGAAGCUGUGAGAUAUAAACUCAAAAUUGCAAGAACAAAAGUAUCUCAAAAUUAUGAGAUAAAAAGUCACACUCUCUUUUUAUAUAUAUAAAGACCAGCAAAAAGCGAAGUCUGGUAAGAUUCCAAAUAAUUUUGAAAGUUUCUCUGUUUUGAGCUGAAAGUGAUCUAACUAUUCAAACAUUAGCAUUAGAUGUAUGUAUGUUUCUAAAGAUAUUUUUUGAUAAAUGUCAUGGUCUCAACUUGUUUUUCAGUCAAAAUCUCUUUGUGUGAUUUCAGGUUUUUUUGUAAUAGCUGUUGUUUCUGUGGGUUUGCUCCUGCUGGCUCUGGUUAUAGCCUUAAUCUUAUUCAAACUGAAACACAACAAACAUGGCAUCAUUUCAUCAAAAGACAGAAGACAGACAGGGGAUCAUGAAACGGUGAGUUUCAGAACUGUAAUCUACAUCUCAAUAUGUGAAAUGUCUAAGCUGAUACUGUGUGAUUCAUGUUUUGGAAAUUUCACUUCUUACAGACUCAAGAAGACAUUCAAGACACCAGGCACCUUGAUCCUGAAUCAGAUCCUCUCUAUUCAACAGUCGAGUUACCCACAAACCCCUCUGAUUCACAGAAUCCACUUUACUCAGCAGUUCAGUUACCCACAAACCCCUCUGAUGGGCUCCUGUACGCUGCUGUCAGUUUCCAGAAGCAUGAAGAGUGUCGCAGCGACGCUACAGUCAGAUUCAGAAAAGAGGAGACUCACUGUGAUUAUGCAUCUGUCAGUCACAGUAUCACACCAAAAAAUUAUUAGCACUGGAUUUUUGUUUUAUACACAUCUUGUCAUUGAAAUAAUGACUGAGCUGCUUGUAACAAUCAUUCAGUUUCACUGAACAAGUUAUUGAGCAGUCAGCGACAUCUACAGGUCACUGUUGGGAACGAAGCGGAAAUGUUUCUCAGUGCCUUAAGAAAACAUUGAAAUCUAUGUGAACUGAAGACAGAAUUUUUUUUUUUAUCCUUUCAUAAAAGCGUUUUUAAUCUUUGGAAGCAUCAGUUUGUCAGAAGAGAAGCAUUAGGUUACGAACAGUGACAAUUAAGAUAAAAGCCUUCAGAGCUGAUGUAAGUCCAAAUCAAUGUUGUGUUCUGUCCUCCCACAAAGUAUCAGUCGAUGAACUCAAUGCAGACGUUUUCAUCGACUGACAUCAAGAGAGCAUCUGAAGCCACUCUGAGCAUGUGAGGACUUAUUAAAAUAAUUCAGUGAUCUGAAAUAAAGGAUGGAUCUCAUCAUCAUAGUCUUGAGAUCACAAGUGUAUGUGAACCUGGUCUUA